UACGGGGGGAGCAAGCGUUGUUCGGAUUUACUGGGCGUAAAGGGCGCGUAGGCGGCGUAACAAGUCACUUGUGAAAUCUCCGGGCUUAACCCGGAGCGGCCAAGUGAUACUGUUGUGCUAGAGUGCGGAAGGGGCUACUGGAAUUCUCGGUGUAGCGGUGAAAUGCGUAGAUAUCGAGAGGAACACCUGUGGCGAAGGCGGGUAGCUGGGCCGACACUGACGCUGAGGCGCGAAAGCCAGGGGAGCGAACGGG
rnacentral:rRNA from 1 species